CUACUGGGGUUUCUAAUCCUGUUUGCUCCCCACGCUUUCGCGCCUCAGCGUCAGUUUUCGUCCAGAAAGUCGCCUUCGCCACCGGUAUUCUUCCUAAUCUCUACGCAUUCCACCGCUACACUAGGAAUUCUACUUUCCUCUCCGAUACUCCAGUCGCACAGUUUCAAUCCCAUCACGGGGUUAAGCCCCGCACUUUUAAGAUUGACUUGCACGACCGCCUACGCGCUCUUUACGCCCAAUAAUUCCGGACAACGCUUGCCACCUACGUAUUACCGCGGCUGCUGGCAC
rnacentral:rRNA from 1 species